rnacentral:tRNA from 1 species
GCGGGGGUGGCUGAGCUAGGCCAAAAGCGGCGGACUUAAGAUCCGCUCCCGUAGGGGUUCGCGCGUUCAAAUCGCGUCCCCCGCA